AGCUAGUUCAUGAUCGACCUU
rnacentral:miRNA from 1 species